AGUGAACGCUGGCGGUAGGCCUAACACAUGCAAGUCGAACGGCAGCACAGUAAGAGCUUGCUCUUACGGGUGGCGAGUGGCGGACGGGUGAGGAAUACAUCGGAAUCUACUUUUUCGUGGGGGAUAACGUAGGGAAACUUACGCUAAUACCGCAUACGACCUACGGGUGAAAGCAGGGGAUCUUCGGACCUUGCGCGAUUGAAUGAGCCGAUGUCGGAUUAGCUAGUUGGCGGGGUAAAGGCCCACCAAGGCGACGAUCCGUAGCUGGUCUGAGAGGAUGAUCAGCCACCCUGGAACUGAGACACGGUCCAGACUCCUACGGGAGGCAGCAGUGGGGAAUAUUGGACAAUGGGCGCAAGCCCGAUCCAGCCAUACCGCGUGGGUGAAGAAGGCCUUCGGGUUGUAAAGCCCUUUUGUUGGGAAAGAAAAGCAGCAGGUUAAUACCCCGCUGUUCUGACGGUACCCAAAGAAUAAGCACCGGCUAACUUCGUG
rnacentral:rRNA from 1 species